GAAUAUAUUUUCAUAACCUGUUAAGAUUAUGAUCCCAAUAUGGUUAAAUAUUAGUGCAGAGCAGUAAAAACGCAGAAGACUAGGGGUUUAUGUGAGCAGAGGUAAAAAAGAAAUUAAACAAUAAGACAAAAUAUCCAGCCUCCCUUUCCCUUUAAAAAGUCAUGCGCAUAAAAUAAGCAUCAGAGACAUCAAAUAAAAUAGCAAAAAUAUGUUUACUCACAAUCUUGUAUGAUGAUGGUCAUACAGCAAAAAUAUCUUAGUUCCAAAGAAAAACAGUUCAGGAAACUACAUAUCUCUUAACAGACAGGAACAUCAGCAUGGCAUGGUCAGGAGCGAAGAGGAAGAGAGACAGGAAGAGACAUCUGUACAUCACUUCCUGUGUGUCCCCAGAAAGGAUACUCCCAUUUCCCAUUUCAUAUGCAAAAACCCCUAAAUGGUGUCAUCAACUCUGGAAUGCAGCUUGUCAGGUUACUAAGCAACAGACAUAACUAACUACAUAAACCAUCCCACAUUGAAAAUGCAUGCAUGAUUGCUUAGAUAACCCAACAGAAAGCAACAUAAACAAGGCAAAGCCAGUCUUAACUCAGGAACAAGGAUGGCAAGGUACAAGACGAAGUCAGUCUCGACUCAGGAGCAAGGAGAGCAAGGUAACAAGACGAGGUCUACUCAGGAGUAGCGGCACGGAGCAGCUUGCAAGGAACUGGAAACCUGGCUCAGUUUCCAAACAGGAGUCAAGGCUGGGAGCUGGAUACUGGAACCUCUUCCGAGGAAAGGCUCCUCAAAUCCUGUUUCCCCUGUUUGUAUUUGAAAAAGAGAGGAAGAGACAGAGAGAAAUCAUUUCCAUUGAAAUGCAAACAAUGAGAGAAGAGUAAAAGAAAAGUGCCUGACUUAGCUGAAUCAUCGGAAACAAAUGUGGCAAAAACUGUGUUCUGGGAAGAACCGGUCAAACCACAAACAGACGAGAACAACACUUCUGCUGUUGAAUUUGCUAUUCAGUGAGGAGAAGUUUUCAGAUGACAAGACAUUCCUGGUACAAUUGGCAUCAACACCUAGCAGAGCAACGUCUUCCUCACUCAGUGCCUCUCUGUUUACAGUAUCCUUCUGUGCAAGAUGUGCACAUCUGUUCUUGGGCAGGCAAAUAAAGGUAGGAAGCCUUCUCCCGAGCUGGCAAAGCAGCUGGAUUGGCUGGCAGACAGUGCAACCGUCUCUUUCCCACCCUGCUUGUUUUGCUGUUUUAGUUUGAUGUGUCAUCUUGCUAACAUUCUGCUUUUCUAAUCUUCUUGGUUCUGCCUGAGCAUUCCUGAGAGACUAUCCUAGGCUGAUAUUAAUUCAGAGGAAGCAAUAUUUGAGCUAGUGUCAUGCUAUUUUCAUGCAAAAGACAGGUUUUGAAGCCAUGUAUAGUCUGCUGUGCCAUAUUUAAUUAGGUGCGCUUUUGGCAAAAUAUUUCUGAACAGCCACAUCCUUCCGGAUGGGAAUUUCAUAUAAACUGCUGAAUGGGUCUUUGGAAAGGAAAGGGUAGCUGAGCCCAUGUGGUGCUGCGGUUUGAGCAUUGGACUAGGACUUUGGGAGUCCUGAAGUCAAAUUCUCUCUCAUCCCAAGAAACUCAUUAGGUGGUGGCCUUGAGCAGGUCUUAUCCAGCUGGAAGUAAGGCAUUGGCAUAGCCUUCCGAACAAAUCUUGCCAAGAAACCCUUAGAAAUGAUUCACCAUAAGGAGCCCCCGAUGGUGCAAUGGGUUAACCCAGCGGUUCUCAAUCUGGGAUCCCCAGAUGUUUUUGGCCUACAAAUCCCAGCUAUUUUCCCAGCU